CCGAGUUUUGACGUUUCCUAUUGUUGCCGGAAGUGACGACGUUCCCGUGCCCUACAAGACAAAGAGGUGUGUUUCGCCCACCUCACGAUUCGCCACCCGCUCGUGGCGUUCCCGUCGUGCUCCUCGAGGUCACAGCGACCCCCCACAAUCGCCCCCGCCUCGGUUGUCCUCCACUGUCCGCGUCGGGGCCUUUGGCACCCGCGGUGACCCCCGCCCCCUCCCCGCUAAGCCCCGGCGGGCGCCGCUUGGAAUCUGCCGCGCAGGGCGGCGGAGAACGAAGGCGGGGCCAAUCUCGAUCCGCAUCCCCGGGAGCCCGACGGCGGGCCUCCCACCGCCCGGCUGGUAAACGGUCGGUGCCGCGCGUGCAGCGGCGCAGGCGCCGUGUCGGGCUCGUGCGCAGGGGCUCUGCUCGCUUCCAGCCGCAGUCUGCGCGACUCCGAGGGCUCGGACCCGGCCUCCAGGGGCUUGCGAGGUGAAAAUCCCAUCAAAACCAGAAUUUAAUUCUAAUUUUAAAUGAUGGCAACUGGUGAUUUAAAAAGAAGCUUACGAAACCUAGAACAAGGAAUUCGAUUGCUUGGUUAUCCGAGAGAGGUGGAUUAUUCAGGUUUAGUGAAAGGAGAUCCUGCAGCAUAUUUGCCUAUUAUCAGCCAUUCUCUGACUUCAUAUUCGACUUAUGUAGCCGAAUUUUUGGUCAUCUCCAAUACAGAGCUCACAGCAAAGAAUGAUUAUCGAUUCAUUGAUUCAGUCUAUAAGCUUCUUCGAGAUAAAUUUCAUUAUAAACCGAUUUUAACCAAAAAGCAGUUUUUCCAGUAUGGAUUUGUAGAAUGGAAGAUACAGAUUGUCUGUGAUAUUUUGAAUUUAGUGAUGAAAAAACACAAGGAGCUGUGUAACCUGGACAAGGCUGUAGCACAAAAAAAGAAAAUUCGUCCCAUCAAGUCAGAGGCUUUUCUAAAUUUUGAGAAAGCUCUUGUAGAACCUGUUGUUCCUGACUUCACAUUCAGGGGUGCAUCUUCAGAGCAGAAAAAGCCACUUGUGGAACGUCACCCGAAUAGUGAAAAUUUUUCUCACGUACUCUUUUCUGAAACUGAAGGUAAUGAAAAUUUUGAUGAACCUGGAAGAGAUGUUAUUGAAGUCACUUGUGAAGCACAAGACACAGAACUUAAUGCUAAGAUUGAAGAUCUACGGAGUAUGCUUGCUGAAUGCCAAGAAAAACUUAAAAAACAGAUUUUGAUAGAGGAUAAGUUACGUUAUUUGGAAGAACAACUGAAAGGAAAAGUGAUUAUGCAGGAACUGGACUCUGGUGUUAAUUCUGAGAUUGCAGAAAUACGGAAUGUUCUUGCUGAAUGCCAAGAAAAACUUAAAAAACAAACUUUGAUAGAGGAUAAGUUACGUUAUUUGGAAGAACAGCUGAAAGGAAAAGUGAUUAUAGAUGAAAUGGUCUGGAAUAAUCUUUUAAGUCGUGUCACCCUCCUUGAAACAGAAAUGCUCCUACACUUUAAAAAGCAUGAUAUACCUUCAGAUACUGUUGAUAUGAAAGAAGACCAUAAGUACAGCAGGAACAGGGAUCUAUCAUCUCCUGGUAUCGAAUAUCCUUAUCACUUGGGAGGAUUCACUCACAACAACUUAUUACUUGAAGGAGGAAAAAAUGACUUGGCUGCUGAAAAAGAGCCUGAUGCAGCUAAAGGAAUAGAAGGUGGAGGAAGAUGGAUAGAAAACGGAAAGAGGAGAUGCCAGAGAGCCUUCAUCAGCAGUCGUCUGGAUACAACUUACUAUUAUCCGCAGAUUCCUCUCCCCAACCCAGUGCCAUUAAUUACUUUGGUUUGACAGAAGCUUCAAAGGAGACAACAAUGGAGAAAAUAGAAAGGAUAAAAAAAAUGUUUCAAGAAACUGCUGACUUGUUGAAGUAUUCAAACAACUCAUCUUAGAAUUAUGUCCAUGGACUUCUGAGACUCCAAACUGAACGUUUUCUUUAAGUUUUAUUUGCACAGUUUAAAAUAUAUAUUGAUAUUGCUACAUUGAGAAUUCCAUUUGGUGUAUUCAUUACUGAAGAAAUAAUUUAAUUUUUUUGAGCUGUAAUUAUACUAUUUUACUGUGUUUGAGCUUUUCGUGGGGAAAAUAAUUCCUGUUGUUGCAGUAGAUUUCUUUUGCAGAGUGAAGUCAUUACAGCAGUGUAUUUUUGUGUUGACAUUUGUUGGCAGUGUGCUAAGUAAUAUGUUUUUUAAAGUGCAGGCUUGAGGACCACAGUUUACAUCCUGUUGGAAACUCUCCAGCGGGGACUUGCAUAUUGCACCCAAGAGAUUUUCAUGCAUACCAUUUUGCCAUCUGUGUAGUCGAAUAAGUUGUAAUGAAAAGUUAAAUGUACACAUUGAGAAUGAAAAUGUUUGUGUAUUUUAAAAAAUACAACUUUUUUUUUCCAACUUAGAAAAGUAGUGAUGCAUUAGAUUCUCAAUUACCGUUGAAGAAGUGGAGGUCAUUGUGAUCCUGUAUUUCUAUAUUUGUGUGUAGAUCUAAAGUCUUACUGUGAAAAAGGUGUUGAGUGUUUUAGUGCCAUAUUCAGUAACACAUUUGAAGACCAGCAGCACAGAUGGAGACCAUCCAGAGUCACAAAGAUAUAUAGCAAGCUUGGGGGGGGGGGAGCACUAAGAUUUGAAGUUAUAAAUUUCCUUGGAGAUGUGGAUAAUAUUGAUUGAAGGUUUACAUGGAAUUGAGUCAGUAUAAAAAAGGGAAUUUAACAAUUCCUCAAUUUUAAAAACUCAAAACACAAGUUUGCUGUGAACAGGCUUCAAGAGAAGGUAAUUCCUUUAUUAUGAAGGGGGGAAAUAGCUUUUUCCUUUAAUUGUCUUUUCCCCUAAAUGUAUAUGAUUAACUUAAAAUUUUAACUUAAAAUGUUUUGUAUGGCACUAAAGUAAAUAAAAUUAUGUUAACUUAAGGCAUUACCAGUGCAAUAUUUUUUACACGAGUUUACAAAUUCUGAAUGUUUUAGAUUAUGGCUACUGCUCACAUUUACAUAGGAGUUUAAGAUUAAAAAAUUAUUUUCUCACAACAGCCCUAGGAGUUAUAAGCAAUGUAGAUAGUUGGUUUUUAAUAGUAUAAUUGUUUAUUAUUGGGUUAUUAUCCAAAGAUUUAUAGUUGAAAAAGAAGCAAAUAUUAUUAAUGGAACAAAUUUCUGGGCUGACUUAAAUUGCCUCUUCAAUGGAAUUAUAGCGCCACCUUGUGGAUCCUCUCUACUUGACACAGCAAAACCAUUCAUGUUCUACAGAGUUGUCUUAAGAACAUGGGAAGACAAGGCUCUGAAUGACUUUACUUAGGUUGUUGUUUGGUCGUGGUCAUGGUGCUGGUGCUGGUGCUGGUGCUGGUGGUUGAAAAGGAUAAUUAAAAAGCUGGCACUUUUUUUUAACUCCACACACAGCAUGUUAAAUAACCAGAAAUUUUUGCUUUAUUCUUGAAUAUGUGUAUAUGAAAUUUUGACUUUUAUCUAUAGCAUCAUCAAAUGUGCCCUCCCACACCUAACAGGCAUAUAACCCCAAAUUUUGUAAUCAGAGUAUAUUAAGUACACUAAGUAAGAGAAAUCAUUACUUAAGGGAAACUUAUUGUCCUGUGGUACAAUUCUAUAAUAAUGAAUUACCCAGAUAAUGUGAAUGGUUACUUGUUCAAAAAAAUGCUGGAAUUACUAGAAUGAAUGGGUCCUCCCUUGAAGUUUGAAGGAAAGAAAUAACUUAAAAAAUAAAAGUUAUUACUGCUUCAAAAA